UACAGAGGGUGCAAGCGUUAAUCGGAAUUACUGGGCGUAAAGCGUGCGUAGACGGUUGCGUAAGUCAGAUGUGAAAGCCCCGGGCUCAACCUGGGAAUUGCAUUUGAGACUGCGUAGCUAGGGUGCGGAAGAGGGAAGCGGAAUUUCCGGUGUAGCGGUGAAAUGCGUAGAUAUCGGAAGGAACACCAGUGGCGAAAGCGGCUUCCUGGUCCAGCACCGACGUUUAGGCACGAAAGCGUGGGGAGCAAACAGG
rnacentral:rRNA from 1 species